rnacentral:rRNA from 1 species
CAGCCGCCGCGGUAAUACGUAGGGUGCAAGCGUUAAUCGGAAUUACUGGGCGUAAAGCGUGCGCAGGCGGUUUGUUAAGACAGAUGUGAAAUCCCCGGGCUCAACCUGGGAACUGCAUUUGUGACUGGCAAGCUAGAGUGUGGCAGAGGGGGGUAGAAUUCCGCGUGUAGCAGUGAAAUGCGUAGAGAUGUGGAGGAAUACCGAUGGCGAAGGCAGCCCCCUGGGCCAAUACUGACGCUCAUGCACGAAAGCGUGGGGAGCAAACAGGAUUAGAUACCCGCGUAGUCCCUGUCUCUUAUAC